AAAAACUUAGGUUAACACAAACCAUGGACCUUCAAAGCCCACAAUAAGAACACUAAUAUUCUUAGUUUUUG
rnacentral:tRNA from 1 species